rnacentral:rRNA from 1 species
GAUGAACGCUGGCGGUAUGCUUAACACAUGCAAGUCGAACGGAGCUUUUCGGAGCUUAGUGGCGGACGGGUGAGUAACGCGUGAGAAUCUGCCUUUUGGACCGGGACAACUGCGGGAAACGGCAGCUAAGACCGGAUGUGCCUUCGGGUGAAAUAUCAAUAGCCAAAAGAGGAGCUCGCGACCGAUUAGCUAGUUGGUGGGGUAAGAGCCUACCACGUCUGCGAUCGGUAGCCGGUUUGACAGGACGACCGGCCACACUGGGACUGAGACACGGCCCAGAAUCCUACGGGAGGCAGCAGUGGGGAAUUUUCCGCAAUGGGCGAAAGCCUGACGGAGCAAUACCGCGUGAGGGAGGAAGGCUCUUGGGUCGUAAACCUCUUUUCUCAGGGAAGAAGCAAUGACGGUACCUGAGGAAUCAGCAUCGGCUAACUCCGUGCCAGCCGCCGCGGUAAUAC